GACGAACCGUGCGACCGUUAUUCGGAAUCACUGGGCUUAAAGCGCGUGUAGGCGGGACGGCACGUCGGUCGUUGAAAUCCCCCGGCUCAACCGGGGAACGGGCGCCGAUACGACCGUCCUGGAGGGACGUAGGGGGACCUGGAACUUCCGGUGGAGCGGUGAAAUGCGUUGAGAUCGGAAGGAACGCCCGUGGCGAAAGCGAGGUCCUGGACGUUUUCUGACGCUGAGACGCGAAAGCCAGGGGAGCGAACGGG
rnacentral:rRNA from 1 species